AACGUAGGAGACAAACGUUAUCCGGAGUUACUGGGCGUAAAGGGCGUGUAGGCGGUCAGCACAAGUCAGUUGUGAAAUCUCCGGGCUUAACUCGGAAAGGUCAACUGAUACUGUGCGACUAGAGUGCAGAAGGGGCAACUGGAAUUCUCGGUGUAGCGGUGAAAUGCGUAGAUAUCGAGAGGAACACCUGCGGCGAAGGCGGGUUGCUGGGCUGACACUGACGCUGAUGCGCGAAAGCCAGGGGAGCGAACGGG
rnacentral:rRNA from 1 species